rnacentral:rRNA from 1 species
UACGUAGGAUCCGAGCGUUGUCCGGAUUUACUGGGUGUAAAGGGUGCGCAGGCGGACUGGUAAGUCAGUGGUGAAAUCUCGUCGCUUAACGACGAAACUGCCUUUGAUACUAUCAGUCUUGAGUCCGGUAGAGAUCUGUGGAAUUCCGAGUGUAGCAGUGAAAUGCGUAGAGAUGCGGAGGAACACCGAUGGCGAAGGCAG